CUUGCAAAUAAAAACGUUACAUAAUAUAUUUGAGUGGAGCAUUCUUUUUGUCCCAAACUCUUCCUGGUAAGAAAGUUUAACAGUUGUUAAUUAGUAUUAUUUUUCACAUAAAUAUAAAAUUGAGAAAAAGAGUAAUAUAAACUUGUAGUUUCAGUCAAUAGUAGCAACUAGUAUGGCAAGGACAAAUUAAAAAAAAAUUUUUUUAAUUAUUUUUUAAUUGAAGGAUAAUUGCUUUACAGAAUUUUGUUUUUACAUUGUUUAAUUUACAGAAUUUUCUGUCAAACAUCAACAUGAAUCAGUCAUAGGUAUACAUACGUCCCCUCCCUCUUAAAAAUAUUUUUCUAUCUGUAAAACAUGGCUGCUGCUGCUGCUAAGUCGCUUCAGUCGUGUCCGACUCUGGGCAACCCCAUAGAGGGCAGCCCACUAGACUCCUCUGUCCCUGGGAUUCUCCAGGCAAGAAUAUUGGAGUGGGUUGCCAUUUCCUGCUCCAAUGCAUGAAAGUGAAAAGUGAAAGUGAAGUCGCUCAGUCGUGUCCGACUCUUAGUGACCCCAUGGACUGCAGCCUACCAGACUCCUCUGCCCAUGGGAUUUUCCAGGCAAGAGUACUGGAGUGGGGUGCCAUCGCCUUCUUCGGUAAAACAUGGCACUAGCAGGGGUCUCAACACAAUACAGGCCCGUGGCCUGUUAGGAACCGGACCGCACGACAGGAGGGGAGCGGCAGGUGUGCGAGCCAAGCCUCAUCUGUACUUAGAGCCACUCCUCAGGGCUCACAUUCCCGCCUGAGCUCUGGCAGGUCGGUGGCGGCAUCAGAUUCUUGCCGGAGCUUGAACUCUUCUGUCAGCUGCGCAUGCGAGGGAUCUAAGUGGCGAGCUUUUUAUGAAAACCAUCCAGAAACCGUCCCUCCCCGCUCCGUGGAAAAAUUUCGUCUUCCAUGAAACCAGUCCCUGAUGCCAAAAGCUUCGGCACCCCUUUCUUAGAGCACUUAGUUGGGAAUUCUGGUGAGUUGUUUACUAGCAUAAUUAAAGUAUAUACUUAAUUUUGAUUCCAGUUGGAAGCAGAAA
rnacentral:lncRNA from 1 species